CAAAAGCAGCUUUGCUUGCUGUUCCCUGCCUGCAGGGACCCGUUCUGCUUUUGUUCGGCCGCCUGUGCAUGUGUACAAAGGCAAAGUUGCUGGAGCAGCCGCCGUGGCUGGGGGUUGCAGCGCUCUUUAUCCCACCGAGCUGGCAUGACUGCCUACGAUGCAGCUCAGAGGAGGAUGGAGUUUAAUUUGAUUCUACAACCUCAAAGCCCGUGCCUGGAAAGCUUUGCGUCAUGCACUGCGCAAAUACACCGGGACAGGCUCAGGCGCCCUGGUUUACACCCCCCGACCAGGCCCGUUAAUGCUUUGGAGGCUCAUUGCAGGCCAAUGCCUGAGGGCGUAAGAUCAAGGACACCCACCCCGGCCCUUUGUUAAUCAUUGUAGUCACGAAGCUUUGCCACAAAGUGCGACAUUUCCCCUCUGAGGGGCACCUGCAUGACUCGUGGAUGCUGCCGAGGGCCGAGAAAGCGAAGGCAGCAGCGGCUGCAGCUGCCCUGCACCCAGCGCACAACAGCCCGGCAGCAAGAUCUCCACCAUCUCUCCAGCCACGAUGAAGACUCGCGCUCCUUCCCCAUUAAUCCACCACAGGUGUCAUCCUUCCGGAGAGCCCUGCCAGCCCCGGCGGCGGGGCACCGCGCUUUGGUGAGCUCCUGAGCUCCCCUGCCCCGCCGGGAGCUCUCCCCCUACCUUCCUGCAAGCUGAGCUCUCCCAUUGCUCUCCGUGGAUCUCUGCGAAAUGCCAGUUGCUGUGCCUGACCUCCCCGGGAUAGCAAGGGAAAACCUCCCCUAAUUAGCACUGCAGUCUGUGGAACAGACACGUAAUAAAGGCAAAGCUGCGGCUGCGUCCCCUCCUGCCUACCAGGACGCGCUGCAGAGGGCCGGCAGCGCAGGAGCAGGAGGAGCGGGCAUCCCAGGGACACAGAAGUGUGGCAGCGGGAAUUCCAGGCUUUCUGCCCAAGUCCCCGAGGAAAAUCCUGACCUCCUGCUCCAUCCGCAGCCCCCGACGUAGCCUGAAUGAGCAAACGCGCCUUGAAAGACGCCCUGCAGGUCAGCAGCCCGGGACGUUUUUGGUCCAAGCGAAUUCCACUGUUGAGGGAUUCAUCUGAAGACUCAAAAUGGGAAGGAAAUAAUUCUCUUAUCUGCCAAGAUCUUGAAGGAUUAAAAAUAAUGCAGUUCAUCUCAAACUGAACCAAAAAGUCAAGAUCCAGACAAAUGGCAGCAAACAGGGAAGCAAAACAAGGGAGCGAGCAAACAUCCCCCAAAUCCAGAUAAUACUGACUGAUAUGUUCUGUCCCCACACUUUAAGAGAUGGUUUGUAGCUGCUUUCCAAGUCUUUUGUUUCCUUGCAAUAAAUUAACCUCCUUUCUAAAACAUACACUGCUUUGACAUCCUUCUGACAAUUGAAAAAUACAACUUUUAGCCAAUAAUAUAACUCCUCGGGUUUUCAGACACAUGUUACUUAGCUCGAUCUGCUUUGAAAAAAUCAUUUCAGUUGGGAUGGACCAGCAUCAGCUCCAAAGGAAAACGUAACUGAAGGAUGUUUAAGCAGGCUUUUUGCUAAGGGUAUCGCUCUGUCCCGCUCGGAUCUACCGGGGAUCGUCUGUCCCAUCGGUGCCAGGCUUCGCCCCAGCCCCAGCUCCAAAGGGACGGGAGCGAUCCCUCCACACUGCCUCCCUUGCCGUACCCCCCUUCUCAAGGAGAGCAACAUUGGGCGCCUAACCGAGUUUCAAGGCUUUAAAUGUGUUUGGGCAGAGCUGCGAGAAAAAUACUCAUUCAGACUGGCACACACGCACAGCGACUCCGGGAAAAUACUAUUUUCUCACUGCAGCAACGAGGUUAGAGCAGCCUGUGGAGAGACGAGCUCUGCACGGCCAGGAAACCAGCCCCUCGGCACAUGGGAGGGAGCCUGGCGUGCUGCUGCCCAUGUUUCCGCCCGGCGCGGACGUGUCCAGCCCUCCAGCCCUCCUUUCUGCUCCCUGCCAAAGGCGGUGGGCGACGCCGCGCGGGGCAGAGACACAGCACCUGCAUCGGUCCCUCUGCCUGCGGCGCGGGCCACGUGGCCAGGAGAUGCUCCUGCUGUCCUCUGGCCAUAGAGCACCAUGUCCUCCUUGGGCCCUUGCCCCGGAGCAUCCACACAGCCCCGGCACCACUAAUUCGGCCCUUUGGGACAAAGCCUCGCAUCGACCGUUCCGGGACCAGCCGCUCCUGAUAGACAAAGGCUUUCAAACCUUCCCGGACCCAAUAAACAGCUGUUCUUCCCCACUCCCGGCCAUCAAUCACAGCUGACAGCCUUCCCCCCAUGGUCAAGAGUGUGCUUUUCACCUUAAUUUCUUAGAAGGGCUUUUUUACCAGUUGGAGACUCAUAAAUACCACUUCGCAAGCCCAGGUGGGGCUAAUGAUGGAUGGCUGCUUCACAGAUAUGCCAGAGGCUUUGACCUAAUUGUCACCGAAAUACUUCCUGAUUAACUAAUAGAUAAAACCCAAUUAAAACUUCAAA